UACGUAGGGUGCAAGCGUUACUCGGAAUCAUUGGGCGUAAAGCGUAUGUAGGCGGUUUCGUAAGUCUGAUGUGAAAGCCCUGGACUCAAUCCAGGAAGUGCAUUGGAUACUGCGAGACUAGAGUAUAGGAGAGGUGGACGGAAUUCCUGGUGUAGAGGUGAAAUUCGUAGAUAUCAGGAGGAACAACAGAAGCGAAGGCGGUUCACUGGACUAUAACUGACGCUGAGAUACGAAAGUGUGGGGAGCAAACAGG
rnacentral:rRNA from 1 species